rnacentral:rRNA from 1 species
AACACAUGCAAGUCAACUUGAACUUCGGUUUGGGUGGCGGACGGGUGAGUAACGCGUAAAGAACUUGCCUCACAGAUAGGGACAACAUUUGGAAACGAAUGCUAAUACCUGAUAUUAUGAUUAUAUGGCAUCGUAUAAUUAUGAAAGCUAUAUGCGCUGUGAGAGAGCUUUGCGUCCCAUUAGCUAGUUGGAGAGGUAACGGCUCACCAAGGCGAUGAUGGGUAGCCGGCCUGAGAGGGUGAUCGGCCACAAGGGGACUGAGACACGGCCCUUACUCCUACGGGAGGCAGCAGUGGGGAAUAUUGGACAAUGGACCAAGAGUCUGAUCCAGCAAUUCUGUGUGCACGAUGAAGUUUUUCGGAAUGUAAAGUGCUUUCAGUUGGGAAGAAAAAAAUGACGGUACCAACAGAAGAAGUGACGGCUAAAUACGUGCCAGCAGCCGCGGUAAUACGUAUGUCACAAGCGUUAUCCGGAUUUAUUGGGCGUAAAGCGCGUCUAGGUGGUUAUAUAAGUCUGAUGUGAAAAUGCAGGGCUCAACUCUGUAUUGCGUUGGAAACUGUGUAACUAGAGUACUGGAGAGGUAAGCGGAACUACAAGUGUAGAGGUGAAAUUCGUAGAUAUUUGUAGGAAUGCCGAUGGGGAA